GAAUUUAUAAUGGCAUUUGAUGUUUUGAUUUGGGGAUUUAUUAGACAUUAGUUUUAAAAUAAACAGUCCUUUAACAACAGAGGUUUAGUUGCAUAAUAUCUACUAGACUAACCCUGCCCACAAUCUAGAAUUAUAUGCAACUCUUUUAAUUGAAAUAAUGAAAUUUACUAACAAUGAAGUAAAAUACCCCUCAAAUAUCACAAAAUUUUACAUUAAAUAUCUAAUUAUAUAUCAGGGUGAUUUAUAUAGUGAAUAUGUGUCAUGCUAAAAAAUAAUCUAACUAUAUGCUUGGUAUUGAUUAAAAUGGGUUUUAUUUUUAUAAUUGAAUUGCUUCCUAGGUCCAGAAUGGUAUCGUGGGGAUUUAUAGUAAAAUUUGAUGAAACAAAAUUGUGUCAAAUAAAGACAUAAAGGCAUUCUAAAUCAGUGGCUCUCAAAAAUUAAUUAUCACCAGAACCACCUCUGAUAUUCCUUUUUCUUUGAGAACACUCAUUAUAGAACACAACUGUGUAAAGUACACAGUGAGAAGCAGAGCUGUCAUGAUGGAUGUAGGUAAAGGGAACCAGGUAUCACUUGCUCAAUGUACUCUUCUUACCCACUGCCAACUCUGGUGGCAGGGACAAAAAAACAAAUAGAUCGUGGAUGCAACCUGAAAACCAUAAUCACUGUGAUACUUGCAAAAUGCCCUAUCUAUGUUUUCUUGGUCGAUUAAUUCACAUUUGAUGGGCACACUCUUGGGGAAAAUAUUUGAGCAACCAUAUUUUCCUUUAUUUUGUCUGCAAGUAUCUA
rnacentral:lncRNA from 1 species